CCAAUAGCGUAUAUUAAAGUUGUUGCAGUUAAAAAGCUCGUAGUUGAAUUUCAGGCCUGGCUGGACGGUCCGCCUUUUGGGUGAGUACUGUCUGUGGUCGGGUCCUACCUUCUGGCGAAGCGUCAUGGCCUUAACCGGCCGUGGCGGGGAACCAGGACUUUUACUGUGAAAAAAUUAGAGUGUUCAAAGCAGGCAGUCGCUUGAAUACAUUAGCAUGGAAUAAUGGAAUAGGACAAUGGUUCUAUUUGUUGGUUUCUAGGACCGUUGUAAUGAUUAAUAGGGAUAGUUGGGGGCAUUAGUAUUCAAUUGUCAGAGGUGAAAUUCUUGGAUUUAUUGAAGACUAACUACUGCGAAAGCAUUUGCCAAGGAUGUUUUCAUUAAUCAAGAACGAAAGUUAGGGGAUCGAAGACGAUCAGAUACCGUCGUAGUCUUAACCAUAAACUAUGCCGACUAGGAAUCGGGCGAUGUUGACAAAAUGACGCGCUCGGCACCUCAUG
rnacentral:rRNA from 1 species